GGGGUAGUAAAGGUUUCGACAGGGGUCUUGCAGCUGGAGAAGCUAUCCGUUGUGACACGUUAAUCACACAAUUAAACUAAACGCUGAAGAUAAUUUAGCAUACGCUGCCUAAUGGCAGCUGUCCGACCUAGAGCACUCACACUUUAGAAUUCGGGCAUCGACUAUGUGAGAAACGACAUGCGUUAAGCUUUGCGCGCAUGGGCGUAUUAUGAAGCUACCGAAUUUAUCAGGGUGUUCGUUUCCUGAUAUAGGAGGGAACAGGCAAAGGCGAGCUUUGCCAAGAUAACGGACUAUGAUAGUAGAAGUACAGGGAAUGGGCUUUUGGACACGGGUUCGACUCCCGUCUACUCCACUA
rnacentral:tmRNA from 1 species